AUUGAACGCCGGCGGCAUGCUUUACACAUGCAAGUCGAACGGUAACAGGUUAAGCUGACGAGUGGUCAAUGGGGGAGUAAUGCCACUCAACGUGCCCGGUCGAGGCGGAUAACGCAGCGAAAGCUGCGCCAAUAGCGCAUACGAUCGGAGGAUGAAAGCGGGGGCCCGAAAGGCCUCGCGCGAUCGGAGCGGCCGAUAUCAGAUUAGGUAGUGGGUGGGGUAAAGGCCUGCGAAACCGACGAUAUGUAGCCGGUCUGAGAGGACGACCAGCCACACUGGGACUGAGACACGGCCCAGACUCCUACGGGAGGCAGCAGUGGGGAAUUUGGGACAAUGGGCGCAAGCCUGAUCCAGCAAUGCCGCGUGCAGGAAGAAGGCCUUCGGGUUGUAAACUGCUUUUGUACGGAGCGAAAAGGCUCUCGCUAAUACAGGGGGUUCAUGACGGUACCGUAAGAAUAAGCACCGGCUAACUACGUGCCAGCAGCCGCAGUAAAAC
rnacentral:rRNA from 1 species